rnacentral:rRNA from 1 species
UACGGAGGGUGCAAACGUUGCUCGGAAUCAUUGGGCGUAAAGCGCACGUAGGCGGACCGCUAAGUCGGAUGUGAAAGCCCUCGGCUUAACCGAGGAAGUGCAUUCGAAACUGACAGUCUUGAGUAUGGAAGAGGGUCGCGGAAUUCCCGGUGUAGCGGUGAAAUGCGCAGAUAUCGGGAGGAACACCAAUUGCGAAGGCAGCUCGCUGGGACGUUACUGACGCUGAGACGCGAAAGCGUGGGGAGCAAACAGGG